rnacentral:rRNA from 1 species
ACUCUAGUCUGACUCUGUGAAAAGACAUGAGAGGUGUAGAAUAAGUGGGAGUAGCAAUACGUCGGUGAAAUACCACUACUCUUAUCGUUUUUUUACUUAUUCGAUGAAGCGGAAGCGAACCGCAAGGUUCACGUUCUGGAUUUAAGGUCUCUCUUUUGCAGACCGAUCCGUGUCGAAGACACUGUCAGGUUGGGAGUUUGGCUGGGGCGGCACAUCUGUCAAACGAUAACGCAGGUGUCUUAAGGUGAGCUCAAUGAGAACAGAAAUCUCAUGUAGAACAAAAGGGUAAAAGCUCACUGAUUAUGAUUUUCAGUAUGAAUACAAACUGUGAAAGCAUGGCCUAUCGAUCCUUUAGUCUUUAGGAGUUUUAAGCUAGAGGUGUCAGA